rnacentral:rRNA from 1 species
UACGUAGGGCGCAAGCGUUGUCCGGAAUUAUUGGGCGUAAAGAGCUCGUAGGUGGCGUGUCGCGUCUGCCGUGAAAGCCCAUGGCUUAACUGUGGGUCUGCGGUGGAUACGGGCAGGCUGGAGGCUGGUAGGGGCAAGCGGAAUUCCUGGUGUAGCGGUGAAAUGCGCAGAUAUCAGGAGGAACACCGGUGGCGAAGGCGGCUUGCUGGGCCAGUUCUGACGCUGAGGAGCGAAAGGCGUGGGGAGCGAACAGG